UCUUUCUGUUCCGCUGUGGAUUGCCGGACUCCACAGCUGAUCGCAUGAGUUCUAUAUUUUCCUGACGCCGGAGCAUGCCAGAUAAAUUCAGCACAGAUUAACCUGUGCUGGAAAGGAAGUCGGGCACAGACACAAAAUAAAACAUCCGUCUUCUUUUCAAAAUUAAACACUCCAUGUUUCAGGCGGAUCUUAUUUCACACCAUGCAAACGGGCGAGGACGAACAAGUGAAAGGUUUAUGACAGCAUUUCAUCCUGAUGACACCAUGGAUGAGGAGAUGCUGAUUUUAUAAGUCGAGAAGUAGAUUUCCUCCUCUGGAAGGACACAAUCUACUGCUUCUAUGGUUAGCCUAUGUGGCUAAAAACAACUAGUUAUUGUGUGAUUUCACAUGAAUCUGCGGGUUUUUGUGAGUUCUCGCGAUUCCUGCUGUCCGUAAUCCGACACGAAAUUCGCCUCACAUACGGAUCCAGUAAGAAUUGGCCUACGGCGAAAAUCGCUGCCGUUCCGGUUACGGUGAAAAUCUCAGGUUAGAACAUACUUAUAAGAGUGGUAAAGGCAAAAGUCCCUCGCAGGAGCUUUGAAUAAACAUUGAGGAGGGUACAUAUUUAGCUCAGUAACUAUCAGCACCGUUCAUCUAUCUGUCCUUUUGAACAUGGAAAGAUAAUUCAAGAUAAAUAUGUAAAGUUGACAUUAUAGAAGUCAAAUAUAAAUCCAUUAUUCUAUACACAUUGCUCUUUUAACAGACAUGGUUAUCUGAGCUGGUGACAUGUUUCAGAUGGAAAAAUACAUUAAGUUAUGUAAUAGGUUCCAGAUCAUAACUGAUAGAGGCAAUAGGCAAUAUUAAACUGCAUUAUUCCAUAUAUCUGAACAGGAUUUAUAAAAACACUUGCCAGUAAGAGUUUUAGAUUUGAUUUGCUGUCAUUGGGGAUAGAAGACGAUGAUCGUUACACUGAUUCUGCAAUGCUUAUUAUUUAAAAAAAGCAAUUAAUUGGCCAAAUGGCGACUCAGUCUGACUCUAAUUUGCAUUAGAGCGCAGCACAAAUGCAUCAAAAACACGGUAAGUUAUUUUUAUUCCAUCAUAUUUCAUCCUGUAUAUGACAAAGACAUUCUCCAGGCUUGCAGGCAGCUGUGUUUAAAGGAAGAUUCACUCACUGAACACUGACUGCUCUACGCUUUCUUGUAACACCUCAGUGACCCAGAAUAUAGCUUCCUCCAGUAAAUACAAUAACAAAAGCUUUGCACCCUUCAAAGGAGAGGGGAGUGCUGUGUGAAGCCGUUUAUACUUUCUCAUUGAUUCAUAAACAGGUUUCAUUUUCACAGCCUGCUAUACAACCUCAAACACAGCAGCACAAAUAUAUCUACAAUACAGAGAAGUCUCCUCUGGGGAAGGCAAGGCUGUCCAGGAGUCAGAAAAUAUAAUAUAGGAGGAGAAUAUUAAUGUUUCCUUUACUACGAUUUAAAUCAAAGCUGUUAUUUUUAUUAUUGUUGUCCCUCUCUAAGAUAAAUGGGGUGAUAAAAAGAAAAAAAAAGAAAAAAAAAAUGCCCGCUUCGGUCCCGUUGACAUUUUAGGGAGUCCUUUUGGAGCAGUAAAGAUGCCCACAUGAUGGAUACCAGAGCUCUGUAGAAAAACCGAGGGGUGCUCACGAAUGCAGAGGCGGACAAGCAAAAAGAAACACAAGGUCUGAACACAGAGGAAAGGGUAGGGGUGAGGACGGGUAACAGAAGAGUGAAGAAAAACAGCAGUGGGAAGACAAGAAAAAGAGAGCGACAAGCAGAAAAAGUCCAUCAGCAAGAAAACUCCAGGACAGCGCAGAACAGGGAGAGCUACAUGCAGAGAGAGCUGUACAGAGAGAGAGACGAAACAGACAGCCACAGCAGCAGCCGUCAAGCAGAAAAGAUGAAAAACCAUAGAAAAACUCGACAAGUUGACACCCUCUCCUCUUUGUCUCUUCUUCUCUGUUUUCAGCACACCGGCCUGCAGAGAGGCUCCCCAGAGGCAAGUCUGCAUUUCAGCUCCUGCCACAGCAGCCUCCUCUCUUUUUUUGGGCACCCUUCACGUAGCCUAGCCUCUCCUGGGCUCUGCGAGACAGGUAGGGCAUCACCCCAUUCACUGACCCUUGUGGGACGGACUUAUAGACCGGGAAGUCGGGCUGACCUGUGAGAGAAGUGGGUCAGAUGAGAGGAUACAAGAGGACAGGCACAAUAUGGCGGGAUAUGCGGGGUCCAAAAUAAACUUUUUGACUCGUGGGUCAAGGUGGUGGGUGUACAAAAUCCACCGGGCAAUCCAACUUUUUACCAGCCAAAGUGAUAAAUGGCUUUUUGGUAUCACAUUCACGUUUGUUACAGCAUAUUCCAUACAGACAGAGGAGUGUCAUGUUCAAUACAAACUUAGACGCAAGAGCAUAUGUGAAGCAAAGUAACAUUAAUUAAUCCAUUUAAAUCUGAAUCCAUCUCACUGUACGCAGGUAGUGAUGCUUGAUUUUCUCAGUUUGCAGAAGUAGUAGUCUCUAAGUCAAACUUGGCUUAAACACUUAAAAACCAGAACAUGUCUUGUCAGGGACACUUCAGUGCAUUGCAGAAAAUAACAAGCUGACUUGAACACCACAAUUUUUUCCUGUUGGCUUCUUCUCCAGCUGGAGUUGGUACACUGAUCGCUCGGUCUAGAAACGUGGCACAGACCCGCUGUAGCUCGGGUGUGAGGCUAUUUUCACUGGGUUUGCUGGUCUUUUUGUAUUUUCUCUAGAGCAAAGAAGGACAGUAAUCAACAGUAUUUAAUACUACCGGACUGCUUCCCCUGCAAAAACGGCUCCUCAGACCUCAGCAAGCAGGAGAUCUAACCCCCCAAUUAUCACCACAUCCAGAAUGGCUCUGAUCUGGAACGGCAGCAAUUUUUGCCGUUUGCCAAUUCCUGCCGGAUCCGUUUGUGAGGCCAAUUUUGUGGCGGGUUAUGGACAGCAGGAAUCACGAGAACUCAAAGGAACCCGUGGAUUCACGUGCAAUCAAGCGAUAACAAGUUGUCUCUAUAAAGACAACCACGUAGGCUAACCAUAUAAGCAGUAGAUUGUAUCCCUUCAGAGGAGGAAAUCUACUUCUUGACUUAUAAAAUCAGCAUCCUCCCAUCCAUGGUGUCAUCAGGAUGAAAUGCAGUCUAUAAUCUUGGACUUGUUCGUCCUCACCCGUUUGCAUGGUGUGAAAUAUGAUCUGUCUGAAACAUGGAGUGUUUUAUUUGAAAAAAAAGCCGGAUGUUUUAUUUUGUUUCUGUGCCCGACUUCCUUUCCAGUACAGGUUAAUCUGUCCUGAAUUUAUCUGGCAUUCUGUGGCAUCUGGAAAAAACAGAACUCUUGCGAUCAAUUGCGGAGUCUGGCGAUCCACAGCGAAAUGGAAAGAAGCCAGUGGAAAUUGACACAUUAGCUUGAAUGGUUAUGAUCAGUUAUGAUCGGGGGAUACAACCUUUUCGUAACAGUUCCGGAUGCGGUAGAAAUUGGGGGGUAAAGGGCCAGCAUCGAGUGUGCAACAAAAGUAUUUUCUUGCCUCAGUCACACUCUUGUUUUGUCUGGUUUUGCUGCACUUCUCUGUUUGUUUGAAUGUGUUGGGAGGCUUUUAUUGUCAGUGAAGGAUAUGGCUGCUGUGCAUGUAUGUGAGUCUGAUGCGUCAUUUGUCGGAACAGGGGACGGUCUUAAGCUUCUGCUCACCUCCCUGCUGUCCUCUCUCAGGCUCACAUUCUGGGACCGUGUUUCAAGCCAGGGUUUAUCAGACUCAUUGUUAUCAGUGUCUUUUACUCACCUGUAAUUGCUCAGCGUCUUCUAAACAUUAAAGAUUGAUGGCAGAAGAAGUAGCAGCCAGAGAACAAAGAUCUCAGCUCCUGUUGGUUCAUUACACGUAACAGCGUCUUUAUUGUUCGGAGAUCCUUGCACACGGCCCUGACUGCUCUAUCCCCGGAGAAAACCUCAAAGUAACACGUGUGUCUGUUUGCAUCAAUACUGGUCAAGACUGUUUCAACUUCAGCUCCACAUUGACAGACAACUGCCUGCCGCCGCCGCCGCGCCUGCCUCUGACUGACAAACAAAGUGUCGAGAGCCAGCAGCGACGCUUUGCUGAGACAGCUUGUCAAUACGGAGGUGUCGCAGUCUAUAUGUCACGCUACGAGCUGCAGACUGACUUCUACAUCUGCUCUCCAUCCAGAGAGAGAGUGGACUGCGGGGCGUAUGUGUGUCGCUCUGAGCUUUUAAAAGAUGCAGCUGAGCAUUAGGAGGAGGGUGCUGAAUACAGAUCCUGCAGAGGCUGAACUUAAACUGUCAAAUCAUCCUUAUGUAGGGCGGGAACACCAGGUGCCGACUCAUUGCAGGUUGUGUGAGAGAGUGCAUUUGUGUGUUUCUCACCCAAUGGGGAGCUGAUUUGAUCACACAUGCCCAGCAGUUGAGCAGAGUACACCUUGUUCUCUGCGGGUGAAAGACUCAGCUCAUUCAUACUGAAUGAGAGAGGCUCACAGAAAUAACUUUGUUUUCACUCAGAUGCAAAGUUGUGAAAAUACAGAUCAAUGCUGAGUGUGUUUCCAGCAUCCAACCUCUUAAAGGGUUGUUUUACUGUGUCUUUGUCAAGUGAUACUCAACAAAGGCUGUUUAUCUGGGCUGUUGACUUUGGAAGAGUUGUGAAAUAACUAUAUUAUUCUCUACUUAAGGAUUCACCAUAACAUAUCAAAGAACUUCAUGUGUAGGAUUGGUAGAGGGGAUUGGUAGAGAAACAAUUCUUUCUCAUAAGCAAGUAAGCCUUUUAGGGCCUGAUCUACUAAGAUUGAAAAUAGCGAGUGCUAAAUUGUGUGUGCAAACUGAAAAUUGCACAUGCUGUUAGUGGGCGUGUUGCAGAGGAUCUACUAUCAUUGUGUGCACAAUUGAUAGCGGGAGCAAAAUUGGUGCAGACCAUCCUCUUUAGAGCAUCCUUUGGCUAAUUCUGGCAUAUUCACAUGUAUAUGUUCAUUAAUAUGCGCUAUCCCUUCUAAAUAAAAGGAAAAAAAGUUGUACAUACACAAGGCAAUUCAAAGUGCUUACAGAUGCAAGAAAAUAUACUAGAAAUCAAAAAAGGGAUUAAAACUAUUUAAAAUCAAUGACAAACAGGUAAUUUUUUUCAUCUGUUCCGUGUUUGACCUUUUUAUUUAUGAAAAUCGUCAUUUACCAGAAAAACGUAAUAAAUCACAAGCUUUUGGACAAGGAUCAUGGCGUCUAUCAUGGCACUUCUGCAUCCUUCUCCCCACAAUGUAAUGUGUAAUGCUGCUCCAGUUUGCACGUGCCUCUCAAACGUGCUAAAUAUAGACGCAAAACAGUGACUGCAAUCGGUUUGAUAAAUCACAGUGUAGGUGCUAAGUGAUUCCCUUUGCAUCUGCUCCUCCCAGAAUUUUCGUGUUCUGAUGAUCUACAUAAAUUAUGCAUAUUCAUGAAAGCAAACACGCAAAAUCAAUUGUCUGCGCUGUUUUGCUCAUUUGACAGACGCAGUCCUCGGUGCACCCGGUUAGUUGAUCAGGUUUGCUUGACCCCCCCCCCCCCCCAAAAAAAAAAAAAAGAAAAGAAAAGUUUGCUUUGUUUUGUACAAUACCUUUCUGUGUUCAAUUUAUUUUGAAAGAUUUAUACUUUUAUUUCUAUAUGUGUACAUGCAUGCGUUUUGUUUAGGGGUUGAGCAGGGAGUGUUUUGGAGGGCCACCAAGCAAAAUCUUACUUAGGACCACCAACAUCCACCAGCCGGCCCUGCAUUCCCACCCCCUGCUUUAACACAGCAGCCAAAAUUGUGUCUGUUCUACAUUGAUGUUUACUUCAAAUCUAAUGGUACACUUGAGGGUGGCCUUUGUGCUAAGUGUAUUGAUCUCCACAGGGGUGGUUUCUUAGAGCUCGCAUUAAUCCAGGACUUGAAGAAAUUUGUAACAGCACAGCACCCUGGAGCGGGACAGUAGUCUGUAACCUGUAAAGGCGUAAAUCAGUAAGGUCAGAAUCUGUCAGAACUUCAAUUCAAAGAGCCCGUCAAACACUGUGAUGUGGAUCUCAGGAUGGCCACUGUAAAGCUGUGAAUCACAUUAAAAAUCCAGAGAUGCUGAGGGUAAAAAUGGCAUGUUGAUAUGGUGUUGGUGUGAAGGACAACUUUUAUGUGUUUCAUUGUCCCAAUCCCAACUUUUUGUCUGGCACUGAUUUUUAAAAAUUUUUUUUUAGUUGAAACAUUUGAUAUAUCGUCUUAGAACCAAAGAGUUAUGUUUGUAACUCUCCUUUUAGUUCUGAUACUUAAAAUCUCCUUCUGCCUCAUAACUCUAAAUUUUCUCCAUCAGGCUUUGAAUUUGGUUGAAAGAUUCUCUGAUUAUUUUUAACUACCUUUGACCAGUGAUUGCCUCUCUCUUUCAGUUUCCUGGGUCACUAACCUCUGUGUUUGGGACGAGCUGCGGCACUGAUGUAUUUGUUCUGUCAUCUAUUAAGCUGUUCCAGUGGAGCAUGCCAGCGGUUCUGUCAAGGCAGAGGAUUCAAAGGCUCGGCGUUCCAGCCGCAGCCUGCUGCUGAGUCGGAGAUUUAACAGCAUCAAGGUCGUGUCUCUUUACUUUUCAGUCACUCUCGACCCGAGCAUGUCCUUGUAGAUUUAUUUGUAAUAGUUCCACUAAAAUAGUAUGGAGCUUCAUUUUCUAUUUCACUGUCCAGUUUAAAGGAUGUUUUCGUUCAAAGAAUGUAUUCCAUUGAUGUAGAUUUCUUUUGUUCGGAUAGUUAUGAAAAACUUGAGUUGUGUUUCAGACAGAGAACCUUUUUUUGUCGCAGAUUUUAUCUGCAAAGCUUGGAAGACAAGGCAGAGUAUAAUGUUUCAAAGCUAGCUGUACAAAAAAAAACAUGCAACUUUAUGACCAUUUAUAAUAAUUUGAAAUAUUUAAAGUCCUGUAAUGGUAUUUUUUGGUGUCCUGUUAACCCAUUGGGAUUAUUCCUAAAUAAAGUUCAAGUUCAAGUAGUUAGGUGAAGCUGAUGUAGCCUUCAAACUCCAUUUUACUACAUCUACUUUACACAGAAUACUGCUGCAAAGUUACAAAUCGGCAAGUUUUAUUCCCAUAGGGUAAGGUAAAUCCAAAUUAAAUCACAACAUGGAUUAAGAUAUAUCGUGUGUGUAUUGUCAUGGUAUCAGACUUUAACCCCACAUUUACAGGGGCCACAACAUAUCAUGGUAAUGCCUCUAUUACAAUAUGUUACUGAAAACCUCAAAAUAAAACAACAUUCUCUCUCUGCCGCUGGAACUUUGAUCCACACUUUUGUCACAUCCAGAAUCAAUUACUGCAGUAGUAUCUUGUUUGGUUCACCCUCCAAAAUGGUCAAUAAAUUAAAAUACAAUUAAAACUCUGCCACUCACCUUCUCACCCACACCAUUUCACCUGACUAACACAAUAUAUUUAAAGCAUAAACAAUUAAUAAAAACCCCACCAGCGUUCACCUCAGCUUGCCUUUAACCCAGCAAGCAGGAGCGUCUUCGUACUGUGUUUCCCAUUAUUGGACCAGAUGAUUUUCCGCUUCACAAUCAAAAACUUCAAAUGAUCUUAGAGGUGGUGCAAACCAUGAAUUAUAACCAUAAACAAUGAAUUAUAACCCUGAGAAUGUUUUCCUCAGCUUCCAUAUUUCCUUUGCGCAGAUGGGCUGCUGCGGCUCUUCAUGGUUGAGUGUGAAGGAGGCAGUGGCAGGAUCUUGCUGACCUGCUCCACUUUUCUUAUGACAAGAUUGGACCAUACGGUUUUCUGCUCUACAACCAAAAUAUUUUCUGGUCUCCAGCAUGAAGACAACAACAGAGUUUUAACCAAAAUCAAUAAAAUAAAAACCCAGAUAGUGUUUACUUAAGCUUAACUUUACCUCAGCAAUUCAAAGUCAAAUUCAAACCAUGUAAUGUGUCCAAAUUACAAAAAGUUUCCAACUACUACCGCUCCAUUACUUGAAGACUCAUUCGCAUGGAAAUACUAUGCUUAAAGCACACUUUUAGCUCCAUAUUUAAUCAAAAAAGUGAGCAGCAUCAUAUACGCUGGUGCAUCCAACAUACUAGUAUAAAAUGCAAAGAAAGAUAUUUGAUUGUAAUGAAGUGUUUUACCCAGAAGAUGGCAGUUAGGAUGCAUGUGGCCAGUUAGCGUGCCAUGAUACACAGUGAUGAUUGUGCCAGCUUUAAACACUUUUCCUCCUUAUUUGGUCAUAACCUUACAUUAUUAGAAACCAGUGGUAUACUACUAAGCUAACGAGUGCCAAUUUAACUGAGAGGACUUUUCUAUUAACUGAAGUCUUCUCAGUUAACGGCUGGGUACACCAUGUGGUAACAGUAGCUUGGGGUUUUGCAAACUACGCAGGUGGUAUUAGCUACACAGCUGCACAAAAUCGUCAUGUUGUGGUCUGAAUUAAGCAAUUAAAACCGUUUUUCCCCACCAACAGACCCCCCAAAACAUCCCUGCUGCAUCCCUUAUCAGAGUGUGGUUUAUACCCCAGAUGUUGCAGUGUACUACUUUAGCCUACUACUGAAUGACUCUGCCCAUGAACCGUCCUGACAUUUGAAAGAGAACACGGACAUUUACAGAUAAUGUUGAGACACUUCCUGUCUGUGUUCAAGCUGACUCAGGAGGUUCCUCUUUCCUUCCACUAAACCAGCCGUAGAGGUCACCUUUUGCACUCUGCAUGCUCAGGAAUUCCUAGAUGGACGAAAAGAUCAUAAGCACUGUGAAGCACCCUGUGUAGCAAUAUCCUCCUGCAGUCUAGGAAAUAGCAGUGUGAAGAUGACCUAUAACAUUGGAUGUAACUUCUUGUGGAGCUUUUCCAUGUACUGCUGUAAUUAAAGUUCACCACAAGAACAGGAGAUAGAAAAACUCCACCUGCAGUCAUUUCAUCUCCAACACCUCUGCGCCGUCUAACCCUUGCUGUGCCACCAGGAAUUAAAAAACUGUUGCCAUUUCACCUGCACUUAAAUGAACUGGAGCUUAAAGGAUAGUAUGAUGUCAAUUUACAGCAGGAGUUUCUGCUAGAUUAAUGCAUUGACCUUUUCAUCAGUUCUUCAUGCAUAUCAAAAGCAGAGGUCGCCUUGGGACAUCCAUUUUAAGGGCAGUUUAACAGCCUGUAGUAUUGACACCUAGAAGUCAGAUUGAGAUCACGCAUUAGAAAAUGAUAACCUAAGGAGGUGAAUAUACAAAAUGCAAGCCAAAUUUUCCAUCUGCUUCCACUCACUGACGUGACAUUUUGCAAUUAUUGGAGUCCCCCCCCCAGCCUUUAAUAAAAAGUGCAGUUUGAAGGUGUUUCUGCAUUGGCUUCACUUCAACAUGGAGAAAGGACAUCCACGUCUUAAACAAUACAGUCCACACUUUUCUUAGCAAAUGUGUUUGAUGAAGGAGUCCAUAUUCUGGUCACAUUUGGCUUCAUUACUGUCAAAAUUGUUGCGGCUCCAGUCUCACCCCUGCGAUAUUCCCUGAACUGUUUGUGAGCUUUGUAACAUUUCUCUCCGUGGUUCUUGCCUGGAGGUGGAAACUAAUUUGCAUGCUCAUUACUUCUAAUUACAUCAUGUAUUAUGUCCAUAAAUAAGAACAAAACAAGGCACCUUACCUAUCUUCUGUUCCUCUGCAGAACAUGCAAAUGAAUGAAAUUAGCAGAAAUACGACAGUAAAAUAUUAUGUUCAUAUUCAGUGUUUUCAAGCAGUGUUAGAAAUCUAACCUCAUCUGACUAGAGCAGAUGUCUUGCAUCUUUGGGUUCACUUUGGGAGCUUGUAUUUUUUGCUAUAAACAUUUUGGCCUAGUGGCAUUGGCAUGCCAGAAGCUGACAUUAUAUUAAGUGACCCGAUGUGAUACUUGCCCAACAGCACUGACAGCCUGCUCCCUCUCUAGAGAGGGCAGUUGUGGCAUCACACCACACUUGACCUGCUGCCCUCGCCAUAACAGGCCACCGGGGAGCUCAUGUAACCAAACAGAUGACGUAACACAAGGCAAGCUAGAAAUCGGUGACAGGGACGGUUGAAUUUAAAGCAGAAAACUGAAGGAAGCUGUUGAAAUUGAACAGACACUUAAGUUUAAAACAUAUAAAUUUAAUUAAAGCCAGAAUCAGCGAUGAACAGCACCUCUGCACAUGCUACAACCGUAAGGUGUAAAGAGGCUGCUGCUGGUUGGUGAGUUACAUGCUUGAACUUGUGCAGGCCAAGACUGUCAGCAUACAGGAACUAAUGCUGUAUAAAACAACAUCAGUGAAACAGUACACAAUGAAAAGUUAGUGUAAUUUGCCGAUGAUCUUGAAAGCUAUAGAAGGCAAAAAUAUAAGCAUUGAUAAAUUUAACGUGGGUUGAUCAUCAGUCCUGUAAAAUCUGGGACAAACCAUAUGCCGCAGGGUUUCCUCUACAUGUAAUUGAUUGCGGUGCAAAAGAAAAGCCCCCACACCUUAAAAAAUGAUCUUAUUUUUUUCCCCCACACAUUCGUUUGUUUGUGGCGGUCCACAGCACACUGGGGCACCAUGGGGUUAGUAUUGGCUGACAGGUAUUGGUGAGUUGUCAUUUGCUAUCACACAGCAGGUUAAUUAGUUAGGUCUGAUGUGUGUGUGUGCAAUGUUUGGUGGGUGUGGGGGCAUGUUAAGACCAUCAAAUUUGGGUGUUUUUAAGCAGAACUGAAGGAAAAAGAAAGGUAGAUGAGUGACAAAAUAUCAUGAAAGUGGAGAGUGGUAAUCUCCAGACAGUCUUUCUCUGGAGUUUUGCAAGACUGAGACCAUUGCUGUAGCAUUGGAUUGCUUGGGUUUUCAGUGGCAUUUCAUUCUAUUCCAGAUGAAGGUUUAACUGUAUUAUGAUUUAUAAUCAGAUGCUUUCUGUGUUGCACUGCCAAA